CUUUCCCAUUUUCUCCUGUGCUCCUUGCCUCCCCUGCAGGAACUCGAUGGGCUGGUGAGAAAGGCGGCUGCUGUACUAUAAUCCAUGGAGAGGACAGGAGUAAGCUUCACUGCAGGCAUUUUAGGGGAAGGGGAGGAAUCUGUCUACUGGGGGGGAAAGAGCCAACAUCAAAAUGGGAAGGAAGGAAGAGGGGGCCAAGAUGAGGCUCCUUGGAGCACCAGUCUGGAGCUUUACCAGAACUGAGGGCAGUACGAAAAAAAAAAAAAAAAAAAAGAACUGAGGGCAGUAGAGGCAAAGACACUGGAAACGCCAAAGUGGGACAACUGGCAAAGGCAAAAUCCAGACGGGAACCAUGAGGUCCUAAACACUGAGAAAAGACUUUGUCAGCUUGUUGGGAAAUAACUGCCAGAUUUCAGAGACCCUGAAGUUGACAUAUGAAUCAAAGCAAAGAAUUUGCAACCAAGAGCUUGAAAUUUAAAAAGAAGAAGAAAGGGUGGGGUGAGGUAGGGUGAAAGGAGACUGUAUUUUCAUUUGUGUGAAUUAUCUGUGCAUGAUAAAUAAGAUAAGCAAAAUAUCUUCGUAUAUAUCUUGGUAUAUUUUCAUAUGUUUUGAUCAGUUUCUUAGCUGGAACUGUCUCUAAUACUACUGGCCAAUGAUAUUUCUGGAAGAGUUUUAUUUAGUAUUAUUAUUAAUUGUUUUUUCACAAAGUUGCUUGAACUCUUCUUCAAAGUGACAUUUUGUGGUUGACACCUUUGAGAGUUUUUGGACACCUUCUGUUGACCUCCUCAGUCAAUCAUACUACUUCAAAUUGAGAAAAGUGCUCUCUCCAUAGAACCUAAGGUCGUGGUAAGCUCCAAGCAAAUUCUGCAAGCAGUGGACAUUCUCAAAUUCUACUUAUUUUGGUAUUAAAAUGUCUAACUAUUUGGUGUGGAAAUGUGUAACUACUUCCAGUUAUUUUGGUAUUUUUAAAAAUGUGUACAUGUUCCCAGGCAUUGCCUGGGCCCCACCAUGAGCCUUC
rnacentral:lncRNA from 12 species